AUUUGUCAAACAGGUUAACAAUUUGAGCUACAUAACUGAGUUUGUCUGUUCCAUAAAGAAUGAAAACAUGAUGGAGAAACUGUACAAUAUUUACGCCUCUUUGCCUAGCCAUAAACAGGCUGAAGUUGUUCAAGCCCAAGAUUUCAGAGGUUUUGAUGCUAAUAACAAGGUUUAUUCUGUCCUGCUCGCCAUAAGGAAGGCUCUUGAGGAACAGGUGCCCAAAAGUCCUGCAAGGGAGCUCUGUAUUUUGACCACUUUAGCCCC
rnacentral:misc_RNA from 1 species